UACGAAGGGUGCAAGCGUUACUCGGAAUUACUGGGCGUAAAGCGUGCGUAGGCGGUUCGUUAAGUCUGUCGUGAAAGCCCUGGGCUCAACCUGGGAAUUGCGAUGGAUACUGGCGAGCUAGAGUACGGUAGAGGAUGGUGGAAUUCCCGGUGUAGCGGUGAAAUGCGUAGAGAUCGGGAGGAACACCCGUGGCGAAGGCGGCCAUCUGGACCAGUACUGACGCUGAGGCACGAAAGCGUGGGGAG
rnacentral:rRNA from 1 species